AGCGAACGCUGGCGGCAGGCUUAACACAUGCAAGUCGAGCGGGCGUAGCGAUGCGUCAGCGGCAGACGGGUGAGUAACGCGUGGGAACGUACCUUUUGGUUCGGAACAACACAGGGAAACUUGUGCUAAUACCGGAUAAGCCCUUACGGGGAAAGAUUUAUCGCCGAAAGAUCGGCCCGCGUCUGAUUAGCUAGUUGGUAGGGUAAUGGCCUACCAAGGCGACGAUCAGUAGCUGGUCUGAGAGGAUGAUCAGCCACAUUGGGACUGAGACACGGCCCAAACUCCUACGGGAGGCAGCAGUGGGGAAUAUUGGACAAUGGGGGCAACCCUGAUCCAGCCAUGACGCGUGAGUGAUGAAGGCCCUAGGGUUGUAAAGCUCUUUUGUGCGGGAAGAUAAUGACGGUACCGCAAGAAUAAGCCCCGGCUAACUUCGUGCCAGCCGCCGCGGUAA
rnacentral:rRNA from 1 species